UGGAGUAAGUUGGAGAACUCUGAGGGGAGA
rnacentral:piRNA from 1 species